AUUGAACGCUGGCGGCAGGCUUAACACAUGCAAGUCGAGCGGAGAUGAGGUGCUUGCACCUUAUCUUAGCGGCGGACGGGUGAGUAAUGCUUAGGAAUCUGCCUAUUAGUGGGGGACAACAUUCCGAAAGGAAUGCUAAUACCGCAUACGUCCUACGGGAGAAAGCAGGGGAUCUUCGGACCUUGCGCUAAUAGAUGAGCCUAAGUCGGAUUAGCUAGUUGGUGGGGUAAAGGCCUACCAAGGCGACGAUCUGUAGCGGGUCUGAGAGGAUGAUCCGGCAAACUGGGAGUGGGAAACGGCCCAGAAUCCUACGGGAGGCAGCAGUGGGGAAUUUUGGACAAUGGGGGGAACCCUGAUCCAGCCAUGCCGCGUGUGUGAAGAAGGCCUUAUGGUUGUAAGGCACUUUAAGCGAGGAGGAGGCUACUGAGACUAAUACUCUUGGAUAGUGGACGUUACUCGCAGAAUAAGCACCGGCUAACUCUGUGCCAGCAGCCGCCGUAACAC
rnacentral:rRNA from 1 species